AGUGAGUUCCAGGAUGACCAGGGCUACACAACACAUGUGUUCAGUAAUGUGAAAUGUGUGAUUCCUUCUGCAUGAAUGUUGCGUAGGAUUCAAAAGCUACCCCAUCCAGUCAUGUCUCAAAGGAACAACACAGGCUGGAAUCUUCUGCAUGGCAAGAAUGGUCCUUGGUACUUCAAUAUCCAGAGAACAGAAUCCCCAUUUCCAUUAUGGAGGGUGAAAACUGUGACAGGGUUGAAUCUAGGGGGGAAAAGAUGGCUUUACAUCCUUUCUCAUGGCUCAUGUGUCUGUUUGUCCAUAUUCCUCUCUUGGUCUCCUGUCUGAAUUUUAGAAAAAUAUAAGGGCCCACUGGCCACACAUUGUCUUCUUGCCUAUCCUCGUGUGCUGAGAGAGACCCGGAAGCAGUCUUCCGAACCAGAAGCAUGAGGUUCAGUGUGGUAGGCUGGUGACAUCUCCUGUGCUGAAUGAGUUUCCCCAUUUGUCACCAUCGGUUCACACAAGAGCAUGUGACAGCUCUGCCCAUGGUCAUGUUUCUAAAGCUAAGCCACCAAGGGCUGUUCUCUUAUUUUGGCCACCUCCUUAUGCCUGAAACUCCAAGGUCCAGCUAUCAAAAUUCAUUAUAUGGCUACACCGGCUAACAUGUCCAAUCAUCACCAAGUCAUCCGAACACAGGCUUCCCCCGUUUCUCCUUAAAAAACCCUCCUGAAGAAAUUCCUGCUGCUGUCUUUGUCAGACCCACAGGCAGCCCC